rnacentral:rRNA from 1 species
GCCUAAUACAUGCAAGUCGAACGCUUUGUGGUUCAACUGAUUUGAAGAGCUUGCUCAGAUAUGACGAUGGACAUUGCAAAGAGUGGCGAACGGGUGAGUAACACGUGGGAAACCUACCUCUUAGCAGGGGAUAACAUUUGGAAACAGAUGCUAAUACCGUAUAACAAUGACAACCGCAUGGUUGUUAUUUGAAAGAUGGUUCUGCUAUCACUAAGAGAUGGUCCCGCGGUGCAUUAGCUAGUUGGUAAGGUAAUGGCUUACCAAGGCGAUGAUGCAUAGCCGAGUUGAGAGACUGAUCGGCCACAAUGGGACUGAGACACGGCCCAUACUCCUACGGGAGGCAGCAGUAGGGAAUCUUCCACAAUGGGCGAAAGCCUGAUGGAGCAACGCCGCGUGUGUGAUGAAGGGUUUCGGCUCGUAA